GACGAACGCUGGCGGCGUGCUUAACACAUGCAAGUCGAACGGAAAGGCCCUGCUUUUGUGGGGUGCUCGAGUGGCGAACGGGUGAGUAACACGUGAGUAACCUGCCCUUGACUUUGGGAUAACUUCAGGAAACUGGGGCUAAUACCGGAUAGGAGCUCCUGCUGCAUGGCGGGGGUUGGAAAGUUUCGGCGGUUGGGGAUGGACUCGCGGCUUAUCAGCUUGUUGGUGGGGUAGUGGCUUACCAAGGCUUUGACGGGUAGCCGGCCUGAGAGGGUGACCGGCCACAUUGGGACUGAGAUACCGCCCAGACUCCUACGGGAGGCAGCAGUGGGGAAUAUUGCACAAUGGGCGGAAGCCUGAUGCAGCAACGCCGCGUGCGGGAUGACGGCCUUCGGGUUGUAAACCGCCUUCGCCUGUGACGAAGCGUGAGUGACGGUAAUGGGUAAAGAAGCACCGGCUAACUACGUG
rnacentral:rRNA from 1 species